rnacentral:rRNA from 1 species
UAUGGAGGAUCCAAGCGUUAUCCGGAUUUAUUGGGUUUAAAGGGUGCGUAGGCGGCUUAUUAAGUCAGGGGUGAAAGACGGUGGCUCAACCAUCGCAGUGCCCUUGAUACUGAUGAGCUUGAAUACACUAGAGGUAGGCGGAAUGUGACAAGUAGCGGUGAAAUGCAUAGAUAUGUCACAGAACACCGAUUGCGAAGGCAGCUUACUAUGGUGUGAUUGACGCUGAGGCACGAAAGCGUGGGGAUCAAACAGG